AAGUCGAACGGUCUAUCGAAAGAUAGAUAGUGGCAAACGGCUGAGUAACACGUAAGUAACCUGUCCUUAAGUGGGGAAUAACCUGCCGAAAGGUGGACUAAUACCGCAUGUGGUAGUGGAGGUAUGAUUCCAUUACUAAAGCUUUCGGGCGCUUGAGGAGGGGCUUGCGUCCUAUCAGGUAGUUGGCGGGGUAAUGGCCCACCAAGCCUACGACGGGUAGCUGGUUUGAGAGGACGUCCAGCCAGACGGGGACUGAGACACGGCCCCGACUCCUACGGGAGGCAGCAGCAAGGAAUUUUGCGCAAUGGGCGAAAGCCUGACGCAGCAACGCCGCGUGGGGGAAGAAGGCCUUCGGGUUGUAAACCUCUUUUCUCAGGGAAGAAAAAUGACGGUACCUGAGGAAUAAGUCACGGCUAACUACGUGCCAGCAGCCGCGGUAAUACGUAGGUGGCAAGCGUUAUCCGGAUUCACUGGGCGUAAAGAGCGCGUAGGUGGUCCUUCAAGUCAGAUGUGAAAUCUCCCGACUUAACUGGGAGCUGUCAUUUGAUACUGCUGGACUCGAGGACGGUAGAGGGAGGUGGAAUUCCCGGUGUAGUGGUGAA
rnacentral:rRNA from 1 species